AAUGUAACUUUCUCAAGUUUUAAGACUGGAAAGGUCAAUUUUUAUGUUUAUCCAAAAUAAACCAUAAACAUCAGUUCUAUGAGGCACAGAAGCCUCAAUUUAUUUUUUUGCCAUAAAUACCAAUGAAGUUAUAAGACACUAAGUGCUUAAAGGCAACUAGAAGAAGGUAUGCUCUUUAAAAGUUGACUAUUAUUUAGCAGUUUUAGGUUAACAGCAAAAUUAAAUGGAAGGUAGAGAUUUUCCAUAGACCCUGCCUCCCACAUGUGCUCAGCCUCCCCAACAUCUUGCUUUGGGGUGGUACAUUUGUUACAACUGAUGAACCUAUAGGGACAUGUGUUUGUGUUUAUUUUUCAAUGGAUGAAACUCAUAUAACCAUGAUCAUCAAAAUACAAAAUUGACAUUUAAUCUUUAGGAUGUUUGACUAAUCUGUUUCUCCCAUUCUAACCCAAUCUCUUAAUCUUUUUUUUUUGUUGUUGUUGUAGGACAACUUAUAUAUUUCAAAUGGACAAAAAAUUAGUAUCAUUUACAGUAUCUUAAGAUAAAUUUCCUUUGAAUGGGAGCUUCCUUUCCAGUACUUUGAGGUGUAUAAGAUGUAUCUAGAAAAUUUACUACUGUGGAAAAUGAAGACUGCUUAAAUCAAAUGGGGGGGAAGGGGAAGGGCCUAUUGUUUUUCUUUUUGAUUAAUUGCUGUAACACUGUCCUUUGGGCGGCUGAGGGAGUUUCAUAUUUUCUUUAGACAUCAUUAGGCGCCGAAGCUCUUGCAGGACAACUUUGAUGCUAUAUGAAUUCUGCCAUUUUGCUAGCACUGAUAUGGCUCUUGGGUCCACCACUCUAUUAGAACUAUUUACUCCAUUCAUAUUAAUUUUUGUUACAAAUCUUACAAAGGGGGGUGCUUCUGGGUAUUUAGGUCCACAUUCUAUUUUAAGGCUGUAUAUUCGGUUUUCAUAAAUUGUUCUUGAAAGCCCAAUUAUCAUCCCUGUCCAUCUUGUAAGUGUCAUGUCUUCGUCAUCUUCUAGACUCCAGCUAACUGUGCCAUCUCCUACUCCUUUCUGGCCUUCUUCAAGUUCUUCCAAUAGUCGGAAAUUGCGAGAGACUUUUACUCCCGAGCCCGUGGUGGCUGCCAUCUUGCCUUGAUGUUGCUUGAAGGCUGGCCCCUUCUUCACCGCCCUCCCC
rnacentral:lncRNA from 1 species